UGGUUGUGUGCCUUCUUCCUUUACCUUUUACAGGACUUUCUUCACUUUGGCACCUUAGUCUUCUGUCAAGUUGAAUCGUCGUCUGGACCAACUCAACUUUUAUAUGAUGAGAGGAAAUCUCACAAAGCAAAUUACACAUUGCAUAGCUCAGAAAGCAGAAGCAUGAGAUCAAAGAUUCAAUAGGAAAAUGAAGACAGAAGGGCACGCUGCAUAGAAGACCGGGUGUGAGUAGGUUUGUGGCAGGUGAGGGUAAGAAGCCGGGUCUCAGGCCAACUGCACUAGCGAAAGAGACCCAGGUUUAGGACAUGAAGCAAGGAUGAAAGCCAGUGCAGUUCUCCGCUUGUCCUUUGCCACAGCCUGAAUGCCAAAAGGCCACAGGAGAGCGGAACAGAACAGCCAGCGUAUCAGCUGCGGAGCUCACAGCCGGAUAUCCAAACCUCACUCUACUGAUUACCGACUGGCUCUACGGUUGGGAGAAGGUUACUCGGCGCUCAAGCCCCUUUAUUCUUAUCUGUGUAAACGAGAUAAUAACAGAACUGAACUUUUUAGUAAAAUGUGAAGAAUAAAUCAUCUAACCGAUUGAAGUGGACACAUGGUAAAUAGCAUGUAAAUUCUCAGUACGUGUUAGAGCAGUGUUAUUAUUUUUUAAUCACAUAAUCUAGUAAGGUGGCAUCAAAGUGAGAAGAAGGGAUAGUAAGUCUAUUCUAUGCAGGUGGAGAAAAAUAACCCCUCCUGGAUUCAUUAGCGCUGCCUUAACAAAGUGCAACAAACUGGGUGGCUUAAGCAACAGGAACUCAUAUUGUCUCAUAAUUCUGGAGACCGGAAGUCUCAGCUCAACGUGUCAGCAGGGUUGGUUCCCUCCGAGAACUAUGGCAGAAUCUCUCCAUGCCUCUUCCAAGCUCCUGGUGGUUUGCUGGCAACCUUUGUGGUUUUCUUGUAGUCCCUUCACCCUGAUCGUGCUUCUGUGCUCGCAUGCAUUCUCCCCGUGUGCAGGCCUGUGUUCAAAUUUCCCCUUUUUGUAAAGACACCAGUAAUGCUAGAUGAGGGGCCCACCUUACUCCACUAUGGCCUCAUCCUAACUAAUUACACCUGCAAAGACUCUCUUUCCAAGCAAAGUCACGUUCUGAGCUACCGAAGGAUGGAACUUCAAUGUACGAACAUUGGGGAAAUACAAUUCAACCCAUAACACCUCCCUCUGGAACACUCCUCAUAGGUGGUCGCACCUGCUCAUAUAGUCCUUAUUAUAUUCUAUUUGCACAGCUUCUUUUCAUUGUCUAAUGGCCAAGGUUCCCUUCUCAUGGGAUCACAGGUUAGACCAUUACAUUAAGAAUAUAUGAAUAUGGAAUGAAACUGUUUGCUUAAACAUGUAAAUGGAAUAAUGAAAGGUAUUGAGACUCCAGGCCAAGUGUAGGUGAUAGAGAGGAUCUACAUUACCCAUAAUCAUUUGCUCUUAACCUCUUUAAAAGUUUAUUGAAAGCUAAGGACUUCUUUCCUCAGAAUACAAGUGCACAUGAAAACAUGCAUCGUUUUAUAUACAAUCUCUGAAAAUUACUGGAUCACCUCUUAAAGUCUUGUUUAACCCGCUAGGGGUUUGCUAAACCCAGAUUAAGACUCUUUGGACUAUAUCUUGGUCUCUCAAUCUUGCCACAGUUGAAAUUUUGUACCAGAUAAAUCUUUGUUGUGAAAGGCUGUCCUGUGCAUGGUAGGAUGUUUAACAGCAUCCCCGGCCUCUAGCCACUAAAUGCUAGUAGCAUCCCUCUAGUUGUGACAAUCAAUAAUAUCUCCAGACAUUACCAGGUAUCCCCUAGGGGGCAAAAUCACUCCAUUUGAGAACCAUUCGUCUACUUAGAGGGUUGGUCCUUGCCCUCAAAUCAGUUUACACAAACAUUUGGUAAAAGCUGCUCUACAUUGCCAAGAACAGUGUUAAAGAAAUAAGUAAAUAAGAGACCCAGUUACCACUAGACUGAGGGUGUCCAGAAAAUAUGCACUUGUGUGUUUGUUUGUCCAUUGUACUAUCUUCAGAGAAUAAAGGGUGCGUGGCACUCUGUGAGUGUCCAGGAAGUA